GAAGAGGGAAGAGCCCAGCACCGAAGCCUGCGGUAGAUUUGCUGUUAGGCAAUGUGGUGUUUUGGUCGGCUGGUUGGAUGGCCACUCCACUCGAAGUCCAGCAUUGAGUAUGGUUACUGGAUUAGGCCCAGAGAGGGUGAAAGGCCCGUACGGGUGGAGGAUCAGAAAUGUAGGGCAAUCCACCAGGUCGACCGUAGAGUCGGGUUGUUUGGGAAUGCAGCCCAAAGUGGGUGGUAAACUCCAUCCAAGGCUAAAUACAGACACGAGUCCGAUAGCGAACAAGUACCGUGAGGGAAAGUUGAAAAGUACUCUGAAGAGAGAGUAAACAGUACGUGAAACCGCAUGCAGGUAAACGGGUGGCGUCAAGCUGCAAGCCCGGAGGAUUCAGCCGUCUAGGGUGUAAUGCGUCUGGCGCGCUUGUCAGUCGGAGUAUGAUUGGAUAGUCCACCGGUAGACGGUGGGACCGAUCGCAAGGUCGGGGUGUGUGUACCGGAUGGGUGCCGGAGCACGCUAUCCGUCUAUGGGCUGAACUAGGCGGUGCAAUUUCUCUGUGGUGGGCACCACGAUCGGUGGUAUUGCCAGUCUGCUGUGUCCAAGUCGUGCCCAGUGGGUCCUCGUGGCCAACUGGGUGGGAUCACAGGCAAAUUCAGUGAACGGCGUAGAUGUGCUUCGGCGUGUCUGCGUGCUAUCGGCUACUGGUUGUAAGCGGGCGUGCUUGGUGCUCGUUGUGAUCGGCACUGAGUGGCCCGGUGGGACAUGGUGGUAAGAAUAACUGUGCAAGGCACCGGAGUUAUCGGCUUCAAAUGCACCCUGUACGCACAUUACAAGUGGUUGUCGAUGGCGUUGCCAUUGCUGUCUGCCCGGUGUUGGGUCUGAUUGUCGUGUAGCUUGCGCAAAGCAGGUCCGGCAGUGGCUCGCCUCGGGAUGGAUAGUUUGUGGUGGCGUUGGUGCGGGGUGUGGUGAGCCUAAUAGUCUGUGGU
rnacentral:rRNA from 1 species